AACUACGCCUGGGCAGGGGAAAUUCUGGUGGAGGUCCAUAGUGGUCCUGACUUGCAAAUUGGUCAUCUGACCUGGGUAUAGGCACAAAAGACUAAUCGA
rnacentral:ncRNA from 1 species